rnacentral:rRNA from 1 species
GUGCCAGCCGCCGCGGUGAUACGAAGGGUGCAAGCGUUACUCGGAAUUACUGGGCGUAAAGCGUGCGUAGGUGGUUCGUUAAGUCUGCCGUGAAAGCCCCGGGCUCAACCUGGGAAUUGCGGUGGAUACUGGCGGACUAGAGUGCGGUAGAGGGUGGUGGAAUUCCCGGUGUAGCAGUGAAAUGCGUAGAGAUCGGGNGGAACAUCUGUGGCGAAGGCGGCCACCUGGACCAGCACUGACACUGAGGCACGAAAGCGUGGGGAGCAAACAGGAUUAGAUACCCUGGUAGUCCACGCCCUAAACGAUGCGAACUGGACGUUGGGCUCAAUUGAGAGCUCAGUGUCGAAGCUAAAACGCGUUAAGUUCCGCCGCCGNGGGGAGUACGUCGCAAGACUAGAAACUUAAAGGAAUUGGCGGG